UGGGUUAUGGGUCUACCACGCU
rnacentral:siRNA from 1 species